rnacentral:lncRNA from 1 species
GAAAGAAGAGUAUUCCUAUUGGUAGGGCGAGGAUAUACUCGAAGAAAACUUGCACUAUGCUCAAAGCUUUCUUAAACUCUAAAUAAAUACGCUCAAGAUUAUAGAAGAAGAAUUCUCUCUAUAAUUUCUCUCUCUAGAGUUUCAGUGAAUUCGUAAGAAAUAAUGAAAGAAUGAGCUUUUAAUUAUAGGAGAAUGGACUGCAUAGUAACUAAUUCAUGAACGGUCCAG